UACACUCAUCACCCUGUGACAUACCUAAAACGUUGCUUCGGCGGGAACAGACGGCCCUGUAACAACGGGCCGCCCCCGCCAGAGGACCCCUAACUCUGUUUUUAUAAUGUUUUUCUGAGUAAACAAGCAAAUAAAUUAAAACUUUCAACAACGGAUCUCUUGGCUCUGGCAUCGAUGAAGAACGCAGCGAAAUGCGAUAAGUAAUGUGAAUUGCAGAAUUCAGUGAAUCAUCGAAUCUUUGAACGCACAUUGCGCCCGCCAGUAUUCUGGCGGGCAUGCCUGUUCGAGCGUCAUUACAACCCUCAGGCCCCCGGGCCUGGCGUUGGGGAUCGGCGGAAGCCCCCUGUGGGCACACGCCGUCCCUCAAAUACAGUGGCGGUCCCGCCGCAGCUUCCAUUGCGUAGUAGCUAACACCUCGCAACUGGAGAGCGGCGCGGCCAUGCCGUAAAACACCCAACUUCUGAAUGUUGACCUCGAAUCAGGUAGGAAUACCCGCUGAACUUAAGCAUAUCAAUAAGCGGAGGA
rnacentral:rRNA from 1 species